rnacentral:rRNA from 1 species
AGUGAACGCUGGCGGUAGGCCUAACACAUGCAAGUCGAACGGCAGCACAGUAAGAGCUUGCUCUUACGGGUGGCGAGUGGCGGACGGGUGAGGAAUACAUCGGAAUCUACUUUUUCGUGGGGGAUAACGUAGGGAAACUUACGCUAAUACCGCAUACGACCUACGGGUGAAAGCAGGGGAUCUUCGGACCUUGCGCGAUUGAAUGAGCCGAUGUCGGAUUAGCUAGUUGGCGGGGUAAAGGCCCACCAAGGCGACGAUCCGUAGCUGGUCUGAGAGGAUGAUCAGCCACACUGGAACUGAGACACGGUCCAGACUCCUACGGGAGGCAGCAGUGGGGAAUAUUGGACAAAGGGCGCAAGCCUGAUCCAGCCAUACCGCGUGGGUGAAGAAGGCCUUCGGGUUGUAAAGCCCUUUUGUUGGGAAAGAAAAGCAGCAGGUUAAUACCCCGCUGUUCUGACGGUACCCAAAGAAUAAGCACCGGCUAACUUCGUC